rnacentral:rRNA from 1 species
UCAGGCCUAACACAUGCAAGUCGAACGGUAACGCGGGGCAACCUGGCGACGAGUGGCGAACGGGUGAGUAACGCAUCGGAACGUGCCCAGUAGUGGGGGAUAGCCCGGCGAAAGCCGGAUUAAUACCGCAUACGACCUACGGGUGAAAGGGGGGGAUCGCAAGACCUCUCGCUAUUGGAGCGGCCGAUGUCAGAUUAGGUAGUUGGUGGGGUAAAGGCCUACCAAGCCGACGAUCUGUAGCUGGUCUGAGAGGACGACCAGCCACACUGGGACUGAGACACGGCCCAGACUCCUACGGGAGGCAGCAGUGGGGAAUUUUGGACAAUGGGCGCAAGCCUGAUCCAAAAGUGCCGCGUGCGGGAAGAAGGCCUUCGGG